rnacentral:rRNA from 1 species
AGUUCGAUUAUGAAAACCAGAUUGAACGCUGGCAGGAUGCUUUACCUGGCAAGUCGAACGGCAGCACGGACUUCGGUCUGGUGGCGAGUGGCGAACAGGUGGGUAAUGUAUCCGGAACGUGCCCUGUGCUUGAAGUUAACUACGCGAAAGCGUAACUAAUACCACGCAUACGCCCUUCCAGGAAAGCAGGGGACCUUCCGGGCUGGCACGCUAUUAGAGCGGCCGAUAUCGGAUUAGCUAGUUGGGUGGGGUAACGGCUCGCAAGGCGACGAUCCGUAGCCUGGUUUUGAGAGGACGACCAACCUGGGACUGAGACACGGCCCGAACUCUACGGGAGAGCAGCAGUGGGGUACUGGACAAUGGGGAAACCCACAGUCAGCCAUCCCACGCGUGCGAUGAAGGCCUUCGGGUUGUAAAGCGCACUUUUUGGCAGGAAAAAGCAGCGCAAGCAGGAUAAUUACCCCGUGCAACUGACAGUACCUGCAGAAUAAGCACCGGCUAACUACGUGCAUAGCAUGCGGUAAUACGUGAGGUGCAAGCGUUAAUCAGAAUUACUGGGCGGCGCUAAAGCGUGCGCAGGCGGUUCGGGAGAAGAAAAGAUGUGAAAUCCCAGAGCUUAACUUUGGAACUGCAUUUUUAACUGCCGAGCUAGAGUGUCAGGGAAGUGGAAUUCCGCGUGAAAGUGAAAUGCGUAGAUAUGCGGAGAACACCGAUGGCGAAGCGCCUCCUGGGAUAACACUGACGCUCUGCACCCGAAAGCGUGGGGAGCAAACAGGAUUAGAUACCUGGUAGUCCACGCCUAAACGAUGUAACUAGCUGUUGUGGGGCCUUCGGGCCUUGGUAGCGCAGCUAACGCGUGAAGAAGUUGACCGCCUGGGAGAUACAGUCGCAAGAUUAAAACUCAAAGGAAUUGACGGGGACCCGCACAAGCGGUGGAUGAUGUGGAUUAAUUCGAUGCAACGCGAAAAGCGCAACACCUACCCUUGACAUGUCUGGAGAUCCGAAGAGAUUUGGGAGUGCUCGCAAAGAAGAACCGGAACACGAUUGCUGCCGUGGCUGUCGUCAGCUCGUGUCGUGAGAUGUUGGGUUAAGUCCCGCAACAGGCGCAACCCACUUGUCAUUAGUUGCUACGAAAGGGCACUCUAAUGAGACUGCCAAUGGUGACAAACGGAGGAAGGUGAGGGAUGACGUCAGGUCAUGGCCUUAUGGGUAGGGCUUCACACGUCAUACAAUGGUCGGGACAGAGGGUCGCCGAAAACCCGCGAGGAGGAGCCAAUCGAAACCCGAUCGUAGUCGGAUCGCAGUCUGCAACUCGACUGCGUGAAGUCGGAAUCGCUAGUAAUCGCGGAUCAGCAUGUCGCGGUGAAUACGUUCCCGGGUCUUGUACACCGCCAUCACACCAUGGGAGUGGGUUUUACCCAAGUAGUUAGCCUAACCGUAAGGAGGGCGAUUACCACGGUAGGAUUCAUGACUGGGGUGAAGUCAUGUAGGCA